GUCGGCAGCUAGCUCUUUGCAAGUCUCACAUGAUCGCCCACUGAAGCUAAUCAGGGCUGCGCUUGGUCAGUUUCUGGUUGGGAGACUACAUGGGAAAGCUGGGUAUUUGUCGGAA
rnacentral:rRNA from 1 species